ACGGAAGGCAGCAGUGAGGAAUAUUGGUCAAUGGACGGAAGUCUGAACCAGCCAAGUCGCGUGAAGGAUGAAGGUAUUAUGUAUUGUAAACUUCUUUAGCAGUGGAGUAAUAAGGGGAUCGUGAUCCCUGAUGCAAGUACACUGAGAAUAAGGAUCGGCUAACUCCGUGCCAGCAGCCGCGGUAAUACGGAGGAUCCGAGCGUUAUCCGGAUUUAUUGGGUUUAAAGGGUGCGCAGGCGGCUUUUUAAGUCAGUGGUUAAAUCGUGACGCUCAACGUCAUCACGCCAUUGAUACUGGAGAGCUUGAUUGCGGUCGAGGUUUGCGGAAUUCGUUGUGUAGCGGUGAAAUGCGUAGAUAUGACGAAGAACACCGAUUGCGUAGGCAGCAGACCAGGCCGUAAAUGACGCUCAUGCACGAAAGUGCGGGGAUCGAACAGGAUUAGAUACCCUGGUA
rnacentral:rRNA from 1 species